GUAACACGUGUGCAACCAACCCCGUACCGGGAGAUAACCCGCGGAAACGUGGACUAACACCCCAUAACACCUUUCCCCCGCAUGGGGGGGAGUUUAAAACCCCGGUGGUACGGGACGGGCACGCGCGACAUUAGGUAGUUGGCGGGGUAACGGCCCACCAAGCCGACGAUGUCUAGGGGUUCUGAGAGGAAGGUCCCCCACACUGGAACUGAGACACGGUCCAGACUCCUACGGGAGGCAGCAGUGAGGAAUAUUGGUCAAUGGGCGAGAGCCUGAACCAGCCAAGUCGCGUGAGGGAAGAAUGGUCUAUGGCCUGUAAACCUCUUUUGUCAAGGAAGAAUAAGCGGCACGAGUGCCACCUUGCCAGUACUUGACGAAUAAGCAUCGGCUAACUCCGUGCCAGCAGCCGCGGUAAUACGGGGGAUGCGAGCGUUAUCCGGAUUUAUUGGGUUUAAAGGGCGCGUAGGCGGGACGGCAAGUCAGCGGUAAAAGACUGCAGCUAAACUGUAGCACGCCGUUGAAACUGUCGACCUGGAGACGAGACGAGGGAGGCGGAACAAGUGAAGUAGCGGUGAAAUGCAUAGAUAUCACUUGGAACCCCGAUAGCGAAGGCAGCUUCCCAGGCUCGAUCUGACGCUGAUGCGCGAGAGCGUGGGUAGCGAACAGGAUUAGAUACCCUGGUAGUCCACGCCGUAAACGAUGCUCACUGGAUCUUGGCGAUACACGGCCAGGGUUCAAGCGAAAGUAUUAAGUGAGCCACCUGAGGAGUACGUCGGCAACGAUGAAACUCAAAGGAAUUGACGGGGGCCCGCACAAGCGGAGGAACAUGUGGUUUAAUUCGAUGAUACGCGAGGAACCUUACCCGGGUUUAAAUGCAGGUUGCAUGAGGUGGAAACACCUCUUUCCCUCGGGACUACCUGCAAGGUGCUGCAUGGUUGUCGUCAGCUCGUGCCGUGAGGUGUCGGGUUAAGUCCCAUAACGAGCGCAACCCCUAUCGCCAGUUGCCAUCGGUUCAAGCCGGGCACUCUGUCGAGACUGCCACCGUAAGGUGCGAGGAAGGCGGGGAUGACGUCAAAUCAGCACGGCCCUUACACCCGGGGCGACACACGUGUUACAAUGGCCGGUACAGAGGGCAGCCACGGGGCGACCCGGAGCGAAUCUCUAAAGCCGGUCGUAGUUCGGACUGGAGUCUGCAACCCGACUCCACGAAGUUGGAUUCGCUAGUAAUCGCGCAUCAGC
rnacentral:rRNA from 1 species